rnacentral:tRNA from 1 species
CGGGGUGUAGCAUAAUAGGAUAAUGCACCGACCUUCUAAGUCGGCUUACGUGGGUUCGACUCCCUCCGUCCCGA